CCGCAGCAGGCACCGCUCGCUCCAGCUGCAAAAAGGUUUCAGAUGUCCCACCACUGCCUGACCCCCUGCAAAUAAGGGCUGACCACCAGAGGCACAUCCCACCUCUGACUUGUAAUCGCUGACAUUUAGGCUACAGCUUCCAACCUGUUUACAACCAAAGGGGGAGGGAAAGGAAAGGAAAGGAAGGGCGGGGGGGACAAGUUGGGAUUUCUCCCUCUCCCUUUCUCUCGGGAUUUUUUUUUUUUUUUUUAAUACUGUUCUGGAGAAUUCAAGGCAAAACAAAGAAACUUCCUCCUCUGGGGUUGUCAGUGAGAAAAGGAAGAGUUGUGCAACUGGUUUGGGAUUUGCAAAAAGGCAAGAGGGUGGGGAUCAGAAGAAGGUGCAAAGCCACAAAGUACCUUUCUGCAUCUAAGAUGGUGAAGAAAGGAGUGAGGAAGAGAACAAAAUAACUACUGGAAAGUCUCAAACCAGCUCUUUUUUUCUGAGGGAGGACUCGAAGGAUUAAAAGGCAGCAACUUCUGAGGCGAUUUGUCCCCUGAGUUAUGGAUGUUGGUGCACUUACUUCAGGCCAGAUCAGAGCUCAGAGGAAUCUAACCAGAAGCAGCAACCACCGUCUCUCCACUUGCCUUUUACCAGGUUUUACCCUUCCAGUAUGUUUCAUUUGAUAAGACAUUUUCCAGCGCCCAGAGUUUCAGUACAAUGUGCAAAUGGAUACUGACAAAUGGUGCCUCAGCCUUUUCCCACCUGCCUU
rnacentral:lncRNA from 1 species